rnacentral:lncRNA from 1 species
ACAUUCCGAGAACACACGAAAAGGGGAUUGGGGGACGGAAAACAGAGAACGCAUGGAGGGACAAGAGGGAAAUCGGGUAGUUUUGAGCAAAAGGGGGUCCUCAUCAACCUUUUUUCUACAGUUUUCUUCUUCAUUAAGAGCAAAUGUUUAACCCCAAAAUAGUCCCAAAAUCUCCCGUGAAACAGUCCUAAAGAGCAGCAAAAUCAGCCACGAAAACCAGUCGAGCAACCAAACUCCGUCGAAGAUCCGGCGAGGCUUCUAUGUCGAGGCUCCGAUUCGUUGCUUUGGCGUUUCAGUCCGCCGAUCGUUGCUCCGUUCGGGCGGAUUGAGAUGUAAAUUUUCAGGUCCAUUCACUUCCAUUUUUUCUCGGUACUUGCUUACAUUUAAAGUAUACACUUGCUUUGAUUUUUUUUUUUUUUAAGUGUUUUCUAUUUGCUCGUGAUAGAUUUUAUUUGCUCUUUUAAAAAUACUUGAUCUCUUUCAUAUUAAUUGCGUUACUGGUUUCGUAUUAUUUGGGAUAUAUAUUUUGUUUUAAUGGAUUAACUCAUUUGAGUACAUGUAAGUUCAGUUGGUUGAUUUCUAAGUAUUUAAAUCUUUCUGAUAUGAGGUUCAACUUUAAAGUAGUUUGAUUAUUUUGAAUUUUUUUUAAAUACUGUUUUAAAAAAAAGCGUUAUCAAUGACGUAAACAAAAAAGUUUUAUAAAUAUUUUAGUGUUAAGUUUUCUUUUUCAUUUCUUUUAGUGACUCAUGUGAUUCGUAAUUCUUCAUAUGAGGUAAUUUUUUCAGUUUACAAUAGUCAAAGAUGAUAACCAAGUCAACUAUAAUAAGAUUAAAAGGAAGUAUAUGUACCAUCACUUAUAUAUACGUGAUCUGAAAUCAAAAGGGACAAUACAGUAAAUAUAGACGAAAGUUAAUAAAGCAGCUAAGAUAAAUCAUACGUGGUAGUCAAUGAGAAUGCAUAGUCUGGAGCAAGGCGACACAAGGACAGUAACACUAUCUAGUAUUUAUUAUAGAAUAUCAAUUACAAUUUGAUCAAUUCAAAGAUAAGUACUGUAAUCUCACAUCAUCCUGACAUUUCUACUAUAUUAUGCAAAAAUAAUUUAAAAGUUAUUUGACUAAUACCAAUAAUGUAUCUCUCUUAACAUUACAUGUUCCUUUGUGAUGCAAUUUAUUACAAGCAUUACCUAACGUCACAUUGUAUUCAAUGUGUUAUUUCAAGUGAAAUAAUAAUUUUCAUUUGCAAACCUUGAAUUUUUGUUUCUAGAAAAUUAGUGUACAAGCACAAAUAGCAUUUUUCAAUUUUAACUUCAACUUCAAAUAAAUUAUUUUCAAGUUCAACUAAAUAUUAUCCAAAUGUGUGCUAAGAUAAAUAAAAUCCAAAGUGAAUAUUAAUGAGAUUAAUUUAGUAUUACCAAGUCAAAUAGGUUUCUCAAUUAAUUUCCAAAAAAGGUUAAAAAGGUAUAUCCUAAUUUACCUUCAAAAAUAUUUUACUCAUGGGUAAACUUAAAAAAAUUGGGACCAAAAAGUCAUCAAAACUAUAGGUAUAAAAGCUUUUAUUGGCUAGGAACAAGAUUACAUUAAGGGGUCGUUUGGUUUAAAUACGGCUUAUGCCAGAAUAAGUUAUGUCGGGAUAGAUUAUUUGGAUUAGUUAUGUCGGAUUAAUUAUAAUAUUUUUUAUUCAAACACACGUUCUAGCUUAAAAUGCAGUCAGGUUUGAAAGAAAGGAAAUUUUAGCGGGGCCCAUAGGUUCAUAGAUCUUAAGCCACAUGUAUAUGCAUUUUGGGGAUACGGUUUAAAAGGAACCAAUAAGAUGAUGCAACCUGGAGCGGGACGACCCCAAAUUCCUCAAGUUUGUGGCUUCUAUAUAAGUAAGUAGUAAUAGUAAUGUUACAUUUCUUUUGUUUUAGCAUGUUGAAGUGGUGAUUCAAGUGGGCUGGUAAAUUAGACAAAUGGAAAAAUUAGAGUUGUUUCUUUCUUGGCAGGAACAAGAAUAGGCCAUGAGCGUGUUAAGUUAAAAGAAUGUCAUUUUGUGCUCGUUAAUUUGAUCUACUUGCUUUAUAAGCAAUAAUUAGAAUAAUUCCAAAAGUAGAGCAUUAUCAAUUUAUUAAGUUGUAACAUCUUAAUGGCUCUAUAGAACAGAUAACCUUCUUAAUGAUAAAAGUAGCUAAUUUAUACCAUGUCCUCCAGUAAUUUCUAUAACUCUGAAGCCUAACAAUAAUUCGAGACGUGAAUGAUCAAUCUAUGAAUAUCGCUAGACGCUUUAGGCGAGAUUAAUAAAUAAAUUAUCAUGGCUAUGGGUACGGCUCCCGCAGCAUGUCUAUGAUACAUUAAUCCCAAGUUCAAGUGUGCCCUCGUGUGCCUUGAUUCUCAACUUCAAAUAAUAAUAAACAUGUUGUAAAUCGUGGGUGCGUUUCACAUGGCGUGAUUUGCAAUGCAAAACAAGUGUGCGACAUUGCAUCUUGUUUCAAUAAAUUCCAUAAUAAAUAAUAAUAAUUAAAAGUGGUAAAAGACGGAAUGUACAUAAGUCUUAAAACAUGUAAUAAUCCGGAUAAUUGAGCCAAGUGUAAUUUGUUAAGCGACCGUGUUAAAAUCACGGAAUUCGAGAGUGUCUCACACCUUCUCCCGAGUUAACAGAAUUCUUUAUCCAUUUUCUGUGUUUUGCUGACUAUAAACAAAGUCAUAAUUUUCCUUGAAUUGGAAUUUUGAAAUUGGUGACUUGGAACACCGUAAUUAAAUAAUUCUAAGUGGUGAUUCUUUAAAAUUAAUUAAAUUAAUCCCUUUUCAAAUAAUGUCACUUCAAUUGGAUUUUUUUUUUCUUUCCACAACCCGGAAAAAAUGAGGUGUGACAAAUACCGGAGCUAAAAAGUCUCUCGUUUUAAGACUUGACGACUUCGCUGCCAGAUUAAGGCACCAAGGAUUCGGAGCAAAACACUUACCUAGCCUUUUCUCCCUUUUAGAUGGAAAUCAACCACAACAUCCUUGAAAUUAGCAUGGUCAUAGGAGCGCCCCACAAGUUGAAAAAAUGGUGGAAAAACAUCUGAUACAGAUGGAAUUAGGACACAUCUUGGAGCGCUGACCGCGUUGAUGAAUGUCCGAGGUGAUAGAGUGCUUACCAGGUUGUGGAUAGAAUUCUGGAAUCCAACCAAAGCGGUUUUCAAGUUUGUUGACUUUGAGCUAACACUAACGCUCGAGGAAGUUACCAACUUUACUGAGUUGCCAUGCUGUCGUGUCAUAGGUUUCUCUAUGUAUUGGGAUUGAAGAGAAACAUGGACCUAAAGAACGUCGAAGACGGGUGGAUAAGCCUAGACCAGUUGUUGAAUAGUUUGGGCAUCUAGAAAGCUAUAAUCUGCAUCAUGAAGAAUUUCAAUAUGAUAGGGAAACAUGGAGAACCUUCGCCCUUUGAUGUUCUCUUUGGCAUUGUUGGGACUUCUGUUGUUUUCACAGCAGAAAGGGCAGAUCAACAUUAAUGUGCUACCUCUAGUCUUGGCCACAUUUUGGGGGAAUUUGCGGGUCACUCUUGUCCCGAUGUUGUUGGCAGAAUUAUUCAAGGCAUUAUCAUCAUGUUCAAGGGGAUAUGACUUCUUUAAGGGUUGCAACCUGUUGUUGCAAAUAUGGGCUACAGAGCAUAUCUUUCAAAGAGAGCCGACCAUCGAUUACAUUGUCGGUACCAGCAAUAUGAUCCGCAAUCAUGAAGAGAGAAUGAGGCACUGUGCCUUUAAAACAGUGUUUUCGGAGAUCUGUUAUCCUUACUUUUGCCCCAAAGAAUAGUAUAAAGGCCUAACACAAUCACAAUAGCACUAAGUAUCCUGCCAAAAAAUGUACAUUUGUUUAGUUUUGGUUACAACUCUUAUAUGAGUUUUAGGAUUAAAAUUUUACCUUCCAAGGUUCAUUUAUUCAUGGAGAGGUAAUGUAAUGGUUACAACUACCAUAACCAUGUUUAAGAGAUUAAACGUUGUAAUAAAAAUAGGACCCCUAUUUUCAUUAUGAAUCCUUGUAUGUAAUACGUUAGUCAUGAACAACAUAUCCUCUGGGCUGUGACAUGGAAUGUAAGGAACUUUUAAUAGAUUUAACAUGUAGAAGCAAAGUUUUUCUUGAAAGAGAUGUUAGAAAAUAUUGAUCUUUUAACCUACUUACAUUGUACGCGACCGCAAGCAGUUUUGCAUCCCAAUGGAUGCUCCAUACUUCAGUCUUUCUUCUUUCCAUCACCGCUGCUACUAUACCUCCCACAAUUGUCCAAAGAAAGCAUAUCCAUAUCGUGAGGGAGAGCACGACAGGAUAGGUCCGCGAUGUGAUCGCCUAGGCAUAGAACAACACUAGAGUAAGAUUUUUUGCUUAUUCCUAAUAACUUAUCUGCAACUAAGUUCUAUCUUUACCAGCAAAAUUAUGAAGCCUGUCGAACUCAAGCACCCACUUAUUAGCACGAGGGAACCUUUAAUAAAAUAAUUUGAAUUUGGGUUUAUCCCACCACUUUGAGAUGUAUGAUUAGGCUUUCCUUUUGUCCAAAGUCCAAACACAGGGCUUUGUACCAGAAUCAUUAUCAGUACACCACCAAAUGUGGUAAUAGUGCCAAUUAGCUUGGCCAAGCUGCGGAGACUUUUAAGAUUCAUCGUCUCAGGCCUGAAUAAACAAAAUAUGUGCAAAAAGAAUUUAAAUUACAAUAAAUACUCAUUGAUACAUAGUGUAUUAAAAUGAUUAAAUUAGCCCAUGUAAUACAACAACACUAUAGAGAUCUUUAAUUCCAUAUUCUAGAUCUCAAAUAGCUAUGAAUGUAGUUGUAGCUGAGUUGCAGAAACAAGAAAUAUUAACUUAUAUUAACCAAGAGUGUAAAUCACUACAUAUGUAAUAUUACAUUGUAAUAGGUUUUUAAGUGUUUGAUUUGAAGCUACAAGAUGUGUAUUUGAAUGAGACAAGGAUAUAAUUUUUCUAGCAUAUCCAAGCCAUUAUUAAAGUAAUGGCAGGAAUAACGUUGCACAUUUCAGAUGCAAAAGUUGUUGUUGUAUCUUUCAAGCCUAGAGAGAAGAAAAUCUACCCGAUGACUGGCUUGUUGGUCAAGAGAAAGAUGUUUAAUUAAAUGUUGAUUACAUGGGAAAAAGAUUUUUUUUUUGUGUUUGAGACUACUCGGUAUGCUAAGAGCUACAAUCUUAGCGAGUAUUGCGCGAUUCAUCUUUGGUCUUGUAUUCAUGUAAAAAGAUAUUCAGCUUGUCUGUUAGAUUUUGUAUUUUCUUUUUAUUGCUCAUAACUAGGCUAGAAUCAAAGUUCAAACAUGUUAAGUAAACAGUGAACAUAAGAAGAGAUGGAGGGAGAGAGAAACAUACUUGUCUAGAAAUAUCGCAAAAGGAGCAAUGACCAAAGUAGCCAUUACAUGUCGAUAGAAGGCAAAUACAUUAGCGCUUAACCCUUCAUUCAGAGCAACUUUUCAUAGGAUAUCGAAACAUGCUAGCACACAUUGCAGAAAGACUGCAACAAUGAAAGAUCUAGCUCUGUUGAAUUAAUUCCUCAUUUGGAUGAUUUCUGUUAUGCAAAGGUUUUCAGUGUUGGAAGCAGGAAGAGGAGAUGGCAGAUUUCUGUUAUGCAAUUGACACGACGACCAACUUCUCUAUAUAGAAGAGAAUCAAUUAUAGGAGAUAGGGGGAAGAAUGGGCUAGGGUGAUAAUACAAAAUCAGAAUCCGUUUGUGAUUUUGCUAAUAAAUAAAUUUCCUAUCUGUAAAAUCAUUAACGAAAGUAGCAGAGAAACAUAUGUUGAAAGCUUUAUAGAAAAUUUUCUCUGAAUGAGACAAGGGUAUAAUUUACCUACAUAUCCAGGCCUUUCAUCCAAAUGAGGAAUUCAUCCAACAACACUGAAAACCUUUACAGAAUAGAAAUCAUCCAAAUGAGGAAUUUAUUCAACAGAGUUAGACCUUUCAUUGUUGCAGUCUUUCUGCAAUGUGUGCUAGCAUGUUUCGAUGUCCUGUCGAAAGUUGCUCUGAAUGAAGGGUUAAGAGCCUAUGUGUUUGCCUUCUAUCGAUAUGCAGUGGCUACUUUGGUCCUUUCUCCUUUUGCGGUAUUUAUAGACAAGUAUUCUUCUUUCUCUUCCUCUCUUAUGUUCACUUAACAUGUUUGAACUUUAAUUCUAGCCUAGUUAUGAGUAGUAGAAAGAAAAUACAAAAACUAACAGAUAAGCUGAAUAUCUUUUCACAUGAAUACAAGACCAAAGAUGGCUCGUGCAAUAUUUACUAAGAUUAUAGCUCUUAGCAUAGUGGAGUAAGUCUCAAACAUAAAAUAUUAUUUUUUCCCCAUGCAAUCAGUAUUUAAUUAAAGAUCUUUCUCUUGACCAACAGACCAGUCAUCCGUUAUAUUUUCUUCUCUCUAGGCUUGAAAGAUACAAUAACUUUUGCAUCUGCAAUGUUAUUCCUAUCAUUACUUUAAUAAUGGGCUGGAUAUGCAAGUAAAUUAUACCCUUGUCUCAUUCAAAUACACACCUUGUAUCUCUAAAUCAAACACUUGAAAACCUAUUACAAUGAAAUAUUAUAUACGUAGUGAUUUACAUUCUUAGUUAGUAUUACUUAAUAGUUCAUAUUUCUACAACGUACAUUCAAAGCUAUUUGAGAUCUAGAAUAUGGAAUUAAAGAUCUUUAUAAUGUUGUUACAUUAUAUGGGCUAGUUAAUUCUUUUUAAUACACUGUGUAUUAAGGGGUACUUAUUGUAAUUUUAAAUUCUUUUUGUACAUAUUUUAUUUAUUCAGGCUUGAGACGCCAUUCCUUAGCCGGAAAGAUAUGUGGCCAUGAAAGAGGGAUGAAUCUUAAAAGUCCCUGCAGUCUGGCCAAGCUAAUUGGCACCAUUGCCACAUUUGGUGGUGUACUGAUAAAGAUUCUGGUACAAGGCCUUGUGUUUGAACUUUAAACAGAAGGAAAGCCUAAUCAUGCAUCUCAAAAUGGUGGGAUAAACUCAAAUUCAAAUAUUUUUAUUAAAGGUUCCCUCCUGCUAAUAAGUGGAUGCUUGAGUUCGACAAGCUUCAUAAUUUUACUAGUAAAGAUAGAACUUAGUUACAGAUAAGUUAUUAGGAAUAAGCCAAAAAUCUUACUCUAGUAUUGUUUUAUGCCUAGGCGAUCACAUCGCGGUCCUAUCCUGCCGGGCUCUCCCUCACGACAUGGAUAUGAUUUCUUGGGACAAUUAAGGGAGGUAUAGUAGCAGCGGUGAUGGAAAGAAAAAAGACUGUAGUAUGGAGCAUCCAUUGGGACGCAAAGCUUCUUGCGGUCAUGUACAGUGUAAGUAGGUUAAAAAAAUCAAUGUUUCCUAACAUCUCUUUCAAGAAAUAUUUUGCCUCUACAUGUUAAGUCUAUUAAAAGUUACUUACUUUUCAUGUCACAAUCCAGGGGAUAUGUUGUUCAGGACUAACGUAUUACAUACAAGGAUUCAUAAUGAAAUACAAUGGUCUAGUUUUCCUAACAGCGUUCACUCCCUUAAAUAUGGUUAUGGUAGUUGUAACCAGUACAUUACUUCUCCAUGAACAAAUGAACCUCAGAAGGUAAUAUUUUAAUUCUAAAACUCAUAUAAGAGUUGCAACCAAAACUAAAUAGAUGUACACUUUUUUGCAGGAUGCUUGGUACUACUGUGAUUGUGUUAGGACUUUACACUGUUCUUUGGAUCAAAAGUAAGGAUAACAGAUCUCCGGCAACAGAGGAACUAGCACCAACAGAAGAGCCUGGAGGAGAUUUCGGGGCUUACAAAGAUUUCAUGGGAUCAUACGAUUGCCCUUAGAGAAUUGAAAUGGUACAUAAUGGAAAUCAGCCAACAACUCAAUAAUCUUCCCUGGAAUCUCCUCCUCUAGGUCUUCUUCAGGAUCUUCCUCAAAUUCUUCCUUGACAUCCUCAUUAUUGAUACUUAAUUUUGUCCUCAUAUUUUAUAAAGUAUCAUAUACUUUCAAAAUAUUAUUUUGCAUUAUUAUCUAAUUUAUACAUGCCAUGUAUGUGAUUUUAUAAGCUUUUAAAUUUGAUUUCUUACAUUUUUCUAAAUUGUCCAAUAUUCAUUAAUUACUCUUUCAAAUUAUUUUGAGUGAUUUAAUCAUCCAAAUUGAUUAUUUAUACCCAUAUGCAUAUUCUAUAAUAUUUUACUUCAUUGUAUAAUUAUAUUUAUAUUUUUACUUAUUAUUUGCAAUAAUAGUCUAUAUUCUACAAAUAAUUACUUUUACUAUAUUAUUUAUGUCAAAAUAACAUUCUAUAUUUUUAUAAUUUUGAGUUUUUAUUUUUAAGAAUUUUUAUUUCAUAAAUAAUAUUUUUUAUUAUUUAUUAGUUGUUUUAAUAAUUUAUUUUAAUUGAUUUUGUGUAUUUUAAAAUCUUAUCCAAGUAAAGGCCAAUUUUCAGACCAAAAACAGGCCCAAAAUACCUAGCCCACUCCCACAGCCCAGACCAAACGACCCUUUAGCCAACAAACCCGGUCGGGAUCUGUCCAAACAACCCGCCCCCUUCCUCUUUUGAUCUUGACCGUUGAUCUCAAAUGAUCAACGACCUAUAAUAAACCUACCCCUCUCCUUAUAACCCUAUAACCCAAACCCUAGACCCAUUUUCUCCGUCCAGCCGCCCCUAAACUCUCUCGAACCUUCCCUUCUUCUCUGAAAAAACCCUAGUUGCCUCCUCUUUCAACCCCUCUGAAUCUUGUUAACAAUGUGAUUCAUCCAUUAUUUGCUUACCAUAUUUAUGUUACCUCGCUACUGGUCGACCCUGGUGGUAUUACUUAGGUACUUGCCCGAUUUUUGCAAGUAUUAUAUACAAAAUCAGACCAUGCUAACUUGAAUCUGUGGGAUUUGGAUGAUGAUUCCAUUUAUAUACUUUCAACGAGGAACGGUUUUGCACCUUUGGUUUGAUUUACAGCUCAACGAGGAACGGUUUUGCACAUUUGGUUCGAUUUAUAGCUAGUUAGACCCAACUAGGGUUUGAUAUUUUUAUCUCCUUUAUCAGUUCUGAUUGUCUGAGAUCUUUUCUUUCCUUCUUUAUGGUUAAUUGAUUGUUUUCCAUGAUUAGUUUGUUCCAAUUGAAUACUAUAUAACUCCACCUUGAUUUUCCCUUUAGACAGACUUUUAAUCACUCGUAUUCCCUCACUUACCCUAUUAUUCUAAAACUACUGGUUCUUGGCCGGCUGAAAGCCAAGGCCACCGGAAUUUGCUUUAUCAACCUUCCCAGUGCGAGCUCUGCUCGGGGCUCAUCUGAAGCCCUUGUGAACUCUGACGCACUAGGUUUGAGGUCCUGUUGUUCUCUCUUUGCUACUGAUAAUUGAAUUACUGCUGGAAAUUGCUCUUCUCAUUUACUUGUUCGUUAAUUUGUAAUGGGUAAGUACCUUUGACUCUCGCAGUUUUAUUCUCUUUUGCGUAUGUUCAUGCUCUGUAUAUCUAUGUCACUUAAGCUUUUGUGAACCAAUAUGAUACUGUGUUGUCUCUAUUUGUAGUCCUAUUUGCUUUGAAGUUAUUUUGUGGCUUUGUACUUUUCUUGCAUCUGAACCUGCCUAAAUUCUAAACUUUGAUGUAUGCCCAUACAUGUGUUCAGCUUGAAUGAUCUCUGACCAUCUCAAGUCUGCUUAGCCUUUGUGUUCGUGUGUGUUUUAGUACUUGUACUUGUUGCUUGUAUGAGUCCAUCUCCAUGCCUUGCUUUAGAUUCUUGUGAGAAACUAGUUCAUGCCCAAAAUGUGUCCGUGAUGUAUUGCUUCCUGUUGAGUCAUUCAUGUACAACUUGUUAACUUUCUUAUAGCUAAUCCAUGAUCAUGUGAUUUCUAAAUGCCAAUAUUGCCUGAACUUCUAAACAAACAUGGCAUAUUUUCUUGCUAUUUGUAAACUCUAAUGUGUGCUCCUUGACUUGUUCAAUCCUGUAUUUUUUAGUAUUACCUAAGACCUUUAGGGCGGAUUUCAAUAUUUAGCUUCUUCUCCUAUAUGUGGUCAACUGGUAUAAAGUCCUGAUGCUUGCCUAUCCUAUUAACCUAGAGUUGAUAUGUUUUUUACUUACCAUGAACUCUUUAUAUUUUGAACCUUUGUACUAUGGCUAUUCCUCAGCAUGUUAAAAUUUCUCAUGCUCAACUAAGUGAAAUGUUACGGGCCAUAUCUACUUGCCUGUUUGUUAUGCUGUUUGCGAUCAUAUUUUUACUAUGCUCUCAUGUUAGAGACUUUCAUGUGACUUAUCUAACUCUGCUAGAUCUUCAUGUUAAGACCUUCAUGUCUAAAGCCUCUUUAGGUUAACUCUGAAUUAUGCUUUAUUUUGAAAUUCUAUUUGGAGUGGUUUGAUAUCUUAUAAUGCACAAUCCAGUCACUUUGAACUUGUUUUCUAAAAAUAUAGUAUGUGCCUAUCUUGUGUAUGCUUUGUAUGCCUGCCAACACUUUGUGUAAUCCUAUCUAUGUGCCUUUGGUUAGAAACUGAUGUUAGCUACAACCUUAAGAACUAAGUGUGUGGACUUCAAAGGUUGUUUGAUUGAUCUAGUAUGUAGUUUGUCACUUGUAUGGUUAGUUUGGAAUCCAAUUGGGUAAGUAAGGCAUUCGUUUGGGCCUAGUUUGUUGGGCCACAUGUGUUGUUGCACUAAAGCAUUGGAUUCAGGCGUACUCUAAUUUUCCUUGUAAGCCAAUUGGACUUAAGCAUUGGAUUCAGGUGUACUCCAAUUGGAUUUGGGACUGCUGGUUGUGCGAAGAGUAAGGUUGCUGAAGGCCCAGACAUCACUGGGCUAUUUUGUGUUGGGCUUGUGACUGUUCUAUUAGGCCUGUAACUGUUGUAUUCUGUUUGUAUUAUUUCAUUUGGCAUAUAAUAAUUUGUAAUAGCGAAUAAUGGGGGAUUAGUGAAAAUGGGGGGCUGAGAUACUUUGUUUUCCUGCAUGAACGGGUAGAAAACCUAUCUAUAGGGCUUUAAAUGUCUUGUUUGCUAGCCAUGUCCCAUCCUUUGGGGAUUAUCUUAAUUCGCCUAUUCACUUAGAAAACAUGAUUUAUGGCUAAUUUAAUGUCUUAACUCGCAAUGUUAGAAAAAUAUGCAUAUAGGAUCUAAACUGGACUUGUUUGUUGCUUGUUUAACUGUCUCAUUUCUGCACCUAGAUAUCACAUCUAUAG